rnacentral:rRNA from 1 species
UCAUCUUCGGGGGUAGAGCACUGUUUCGGCUAGGGGGUCAUCCCGACUUACCAACCCGAUGCAAACUACGAAUACCGAAGAAUGUUAUCACGGGAGACACACGGCGGGUGCUAACGUCCGUCGUGAAGAGGGAAACAACCCAGACCGCCAGCUAAGGUCCCAAAGUCAUGGUUAAGUGGGAAACGAUGUGGGAAGGCACAGACAGCCAGGAUGUUGGCUUAGAAGCAGCCAUCAUUUAAAGAAAGCGUAAUAGCUCACUGGUCGAGUCGGCCUGCGCGGAAGAUGUAACGGGGCUAAACCAUGCACCGAAGCUGCGGCAGCGACACUAUGUGUUGUUGGGUAGGGGAGCGUUCUGUAAGCCUGCGAAGGUGACCUGUGAGGGUUGCUGGAGGUAUCAGAAGUGCGAAUGCUGACAUAAGUAACGAUAAAGCGGGUGAAAAGCCCGCUCGCCGGAAGACCAAGGGUUCCUGUCCAACGUUAAUCGGGGCAGGGUGAGUCGACCCCUAAGGCGAGGCCGAAAGGCGUAGUCGAUGGGAAACAGGUUAAUAUUCCUGUACUUGGUGUUACUGCGAAGGGGGGACGGAGAAGGCUAUGUUAGCCGGGCGACGGUUGUCCCGGUUUAAGCAUGUAGGCUGGUUGUCCAGGCAAAUCCGGAUAAUCAAGGCUGAGGUGUGAUGACGAGGCACUACGGUGCUGAAGUAACAAAUGCCCUGCUUCCAGGAAAAGCCUCUAAGCAUCAGGUAACAUCAAAUCGUACCCCAAACCGACACAGGUGGUCAGGUAGAGAAUACCAAGGCGCUUGAGAGAACUCGGGUGAAGGAACUAGGCAAAAUGGUGCCGUAACUUCGGGAGAAGGCACGCUGGUGUGUAGGUGAAGUCCCUGCGGAUGGAGCUGAGACCAGUCGAAGAUACCAGCUGGCUGCAACUGUUUAUUAAAAACACAGCACUGUGCAAACACGAAAGUGGACGUAUACGGUGUGACGCCUGCCCGGUGCCGGAAGGUUAAUUGAUGGGGUUAUCCGUAAGGAGAAGCUCUUGAUCGAAGCCCCGGUAAACGGCGGCCGUAACUAUAACGGUCCUAAGGUAGCGAAAUUCCUUGUCGGGUAAGUUCCGACCUGCACGAAUGGCGUAAUGAUGGCCAGGCUGUCUCCACCCGAGACUCAGUGAAAUUGAACUCGCUGUGAAGAUGCAGUGUACCCGCGGCAAGACGGAAAGACCCCGUGAACCUUUACUAUAGCUUGACACUGAACAUUGAGCCUUGAUGUGUAGGAUAGGUGGGAGGCUUUGAAGCGUGGACGCCAGUCUGCGUGGAGCCAACCUUGAAAUACCACCCUUUAAUGUUUGAUGUUCUAACGUUGGCCCCUUACCGGGGUUGCGGACAGUGUCUGGUGGGUAGUUUGACUGGGGCGGUCUCCUCCCAAAGCGUAACGGAGGAGCACGAAGGUUAGCUAAUCCUGGUCGGACAUCAGGAGGUUAGUGCAAUGGCAUAAGCUAGCUUGACUGCGAGCGUGACGGCGCGAGCAGGUGCGAAAGCAGGUCAUAGUGAUCCGGUGGUUCUGAAUGGAAGGGCCAUCGCUCAACGGAUAAAAGGUACUCCGGGGAUAACAGGCUGAUACCGCCCAAGAGUUCAUAUCGACGGCGGUGUUUGGCACCUCGAUGUCGGCUCAUCACAUCCUGGGGCUGAAGUAGGUCCCAAGGGUAUGGCUGUUCGCCAUUUAAAGUGGUACGCGAGCUGGGUUUAGAACGUCGUGAGACAGUUCGGUCCCUAUCUGCCGUGGGCGCUGGAGAAUUGAGGGGGGCUGCUCCUAGUACGAGAGGACCGGAGUGGACGCAUCACUGGUGUUCGGGUUGUCAUGCCAAUGGCACUGCCCGGUAGCUAAAUGCGGAAGAGAUAAGUGCUGAAAGCAUCUAAGCACGAAACUUGCCCCGAGAUGAGUUCUCCCUGAGACUUUAAGUCUCCUGAAGGAACGUUAAAGACGAUGACGUUGAUAGGCCGGGUGUGUAAGCGCAGCGAUGCGUUGAGCUAACCGGUACUAAUGAACCGUGAGGCUUAACCUUACAACGCCGAAG